AUUCUUUUUCUCAAUAUGUGCUGUUCGAGUGCCAAUCGUCACAGUAGAGACCUGAAAUAGCACACAAUCUCAGACACAAGAAGAACUUGCAACUUGUGGAAAGUGCAUGCGUUAAACAUACAUUCAAGCAUGGAUUACCAAUAAUGAGGUGCCAGCAAGAAAGAUUGUAGAAGAGGUUAAGUAACACUACCCCAAGGAGGGUUUCAGAUUCAAGCUACAACCCAGGGGAUAGCACUACAGAUAAUGGCAAGACAGAGGUAGAGAGAACUUUGCAUAAUGAUAAUAGAAUUUAUACUUCUAAUAAGUAGUUCAUCAAACAAGUGUUGGCAGAUGAACAACGUUUGAACAAAAGAGGUUAUUGAACAUAGUUCAUAAUGUUUAAUGACAUUAUCUGAACGUACCACAAAAACUCCCAUCAACAGAGGAGCAGCAAAAGCAAUUGCAUUUGAAAUGAACAAAUGAAACUGAGACCAGACUUUGGGAUAUUAACAAAGCAAUAUAAACUGCCUGCAUGGCAGCAAAAGGUUAUUGAAGGAACAAUCAUUUGUACCCUAUCCAAAAAAACCCAAAGACAAAGCCAUGCAGGAAUGUUUCUUGAAACCUCUAAAUGUGAGACAGAUUCUCAACUUCCAGUCAUCAUAAAAUGGCCUCCAUAGCAUAACCAAGAGUGUGCUUGUUUAGAGACAAUAAAGCCCUAAAAGAGUUCUGAAUAAAAUUGGAAGAAAAUGCCACUAACAUAGAAAUUCCAAAUUAAUAAAAUCCAAAUAUUACAAAUAAGUUUGCAAGAGACCUAAAUAGCAAUAAAAUUACAGAAAUUCUAAACUUAAAAUUAAUUCUUCCUGUACAACAUAAUGUAGGAUCCAACAUUUUAGCAAACAAUUUGG
rnacentral:lncRNA from 1 species